GACGAACGCUGGCGGCGUGCUUAACACAUGCAAGUCGAGCGGAAAGGCCCUUCGGGGUACUCGAGCGGCGAACGGGUGAGUAACACGUUAGUAACCUGCCCCAGACUUUGGGAUAACCCUCGGAAACGGGGGCUAAUACCGGAUACGACACAGCUUCGCAUGGGGUCUGUGUGGAAAGUUUUUCGGUUUGGGAUGGGCACGCGGCCUAUCAGCUUGUUGGUGGGGUGAUGGCCUACCAAGGCGACGACGGGUAGCCGGCCUGAGAGGGCGACCGGCCACACUGGGACUGAGAGACGGCCCAGACUCCUACGGGAGGCAGCAGUGGGGAAUAUUGCACAAUGGGCGGAAGCCUGAUGCAGCGACGCCGCGUGAGGGAUGACGGCCUUCGGGUUGUAAACCUCUUUCAGCAGGGACGAAGCGUAAGUGACGGUACCUGCAGAAGAAGCGCCGGCCAACUACGUG
rnacentral:rRNA from 1 species